GGGCCGGUAGCUCAGCCUGGAAGAGCGCCGCCCUUGCAUAAGGCGGAGGUCCCGGGUUCAAGUCCCGGCCGGUCCA
rnacentral:tRNA from 1 species